UACAGAGGGUGCAAGCGUUGUUCGGAAUUAUUGGGCGUAAAGAGCGUGUAGGCGGCCAUACAGGUCAGCUGUGAAAACUCGAGGCUCAACCUCGAGACGUCGGUUGAAACCGUAUGGCUAGAGUCCGGAAGAGGAGAGUGGAAUUCCCGGUGUAGCGGUGAAAUGCGCAGAUAUCGGGAAGAACACCCGUGGCGAAGGCGGCUCUCUGGGACGGUACUGACGCUGAGACGCGAAAGCGUGGGGAGCGAACAGG
rnacentral:rRNA from 1 species